ACAUGCCUACAACAUAGCAUUAAUGCACACGAUCCCAUUAAAACUCCACAGUUAAGCGCGCUCAGUCUAGAGUAGUACUGGAAUGGGUGACCUCCUGGGAGUCCUACUAUUUUACAUGUC
rfam:Picea glauca, whole genome shotgun sequence.